rnacentral:rRNA from 1 species
GUCCACGCUGUAAACGAUGAGCACUAGGUGUCGCGGGUAUUGACCCCUGCGGUGCCGACGCUAACGCAUUAAGUGCUCCGCCUGGGGACUACGGCCGCAAGGUUAAAACUCAAAGGAAUUGACGGGGGCCCGCACAAGCGGUGGAGCAUGUGGUUCAAUUCGACGCAACGCGAAGAACCUUACCUGGGCUAGACAACGGAGGACCGCUCCAGAGAUGGGGCUUUCCCUUCGGGGACUUCCGGUUCAGGUGCUGCAUGGCUGUCGU